rnacentral:rRNA from 1 species
GAUGAACGCUGGCGGCGUGCCUAAUACAUGCAAGUCGAGCGAACAGACGAGGAGCUUGCUCCUCUGACGUUAGCGGCGGACGGGUGAGUAACACGUGGAUAACCUACCUAUAAGACUGGGAUAACUUCGGGAAACCGGAGCUAAUACCGGAUAAUAUAUUGAACCGCAUGGUUCAAUAGUGAAAGACGGUUUUGCUGUCACUUAUAGAUGGAUCCGCGCCGCAUUAGCUAGUUGGUAAGGUAACGGCUUACCAAGGCAACGAUGCGUAGCCGACCUGAGAGGGUGAUCGGCCACACGGGAACUGAGACACGGUCCAGACUCCUACGGGAGGCAGCAGUAGGGAAUCUUCCGCAAUGGGCGAAAGCCUUACGGAACAACGCCGCGUGAGUGAUGAAGGUCUUCGGAUCGUAAAACUCUGUUAUUAGGGAAGAACAAAUGUGUAAGUAACUAUGCACGUCUUGACGGUACCUAAUCAGAAAGCCACGGCUAACUACGUG